UACGUAGGGCGCAAGCGUUAUCCGGAAUUAUUGGGCGUAAAGAGCUUCUGAGAGCGGUUUGUCGCGUCUGCCUGUAGCGGAAUUCGGACUCAGCCGACUGCAGUGGGUACGGGCAGACUAGAGUGUGUAGGGGAGACUGGAAUUCCUGGUGUAGCGGUGAAAUGCGCAGAUAUCAGGAGGAACACCGAUGGCGAAGGCAGGUCUCUGGGCAUAACUGACGCUGAGGAGCGAAAGCAUGGGGAGCAAACGGGAUUAGA
rnacentral:rRNA from 1 species